CCUCUCCUCCGCUCACUCCCGUUACUAUCUCUCCGGCGCCAUGCCUCCGCUGACAAGCUCUCUCUCUCUCUCUCUCUCUCACACACACACACUUUCUCUCUCUAAAACCCUCUUAGUCUCUCUCUGGAAUUGACAAAGAUGAAGUCUAUGCAGCCUCCAAGGAGAAAAGCGCCUCCGCCUUCAGAUCUAACUAUAAGGCCUUGGAUUCAAAGCCUUCGCCGGCGGCUAAGUUGAAGAGUCUGUUGCCGCCAAGGCCGCCGCUGUCAAAUCCUCUCAAACGUAAGCUGGGACGCUUCCUAAGAACUCCGUCCAUGAAGCCUCUGGAUCUCUUCGUCGAGUGAUUGAGUUUCUGGGCUGCGUUCCUCUGCUUCAGCGCCUACCCAGCUCCUCGCUCAAUAAAAUCGCCCAGCUCGUAAUUCCAAAGCACUACGGUGAAUCCCACAACCUCAUUUUUUACUGUGCUAUGAAAUUUCAAUUGUGGUUUUGUAUGAUCUCAGGGAUGGCACUGUCAGUUGACUGAAGAACAAUUUAUCUCUGUGAAGGAACUAGUACAAAUUCAAACUCAAUAUUCAAAGGAGAUCUGAUUUAGGAAUAAUAACAGUUUGAGAUUUUGCAACAUUAAAAGCCAUAGUUAUGUUUUCAAUUGUUCUUCACCGAUUUUAUCAUUUCUUUUUACUAGUGUUAAUACUUUGUAGUUCAGGAAAAAACAUGUCCUGUUCCCAUUUUACACUAGAUAACAGUUUUGUCCUACACACAGUUUUGAGUAUAAACUGUAAUUUUUGUUAAUCUGUUAUUUCUUAUCUGGACACUAACUUAUGUUUAAGUUCAGCUGAAAACAGCUAUCAGUCGUGCAACGUCCAGAAAUGAUUGGAUGACUAUCAGAGAUGCCCUUGAGGUGUCUGCUGAAAUGUUUAAGAAGGAUGGAAAUAAUGUUUCAGAUUAUGUUCAGCGUCAUCUUAUAUCUUUGUCCAUUUGGGAGGAAUUACGUUUCUGGGAAAGCUACUUUGACUGUCUAAUGGAACGGUCUUCAAACAAUGCUUAAAAUACUUGUGUUGCAAGACCCAGUAAUCAGGCCACUACAUGAACUGGAGAAAAGUAACUUGGAAGAUAUUCUAAUUAAACGACCAGCAGAGGAAUGUCUUGUCUUAGUUGCUGCGUCUUUUUCCAUGACUGCUUCAUUGAGGUCGACCAACUAUGCCUCUUUGGUGACUGAUCAGCUAUCUUUGGUGGAAUUACACAUGGCUAGACUAGGACUUCCUGAUCUUGAUGCAUGGUACAUGAUUGAAACAAUAGCUGAGAAGAACAACAUUGGAUACACACAAUUUAUAAAGUUGAGGGGGUUAUUGUUGCAUGUUCAAUAACUACGAAUUGGUUACUGGGGAAUCAGUUCUUUCAAGGCCCAAUCCAUGUCUCAUGCAUUAGCAUCUCCACGUUCAAAAGAUGCUGCAGUUGAGAGUCAGCAACCUACCGAGGCCUCCGGUGUUGGGAGGAGCUGGGUUAAGAGCAUGUUCAGCAGGGAUAAUUCAACCAGAUUAAACUCUUUCAGUAUUGUUCGCAAAUGGACUUCUGAUGGUGGCUCUCCAAGUAUUUCAAUUGCUAAAAUUAGUUGCUUGCAUUUUAUGUUUUUUCAAUACAUCACCAUAAUUUCUUGUCAUGAAGCUACAAAUGAAAAUGGGACAUCUCGUAAGCGAGAAUUAUCUGCAGCUGGACAGAAGAAAACCCAAACCAAUGUUCGAGUACUUAGAGGCCAUACUGGCCCUAUCACUGCUCUACAUUGUGUAACAAGGAGGGAAGUUUGGGAUCUAGUGGGUGACCGUGAAGACGCAGGUUUCUUCAUCAGUGGGAGCACAGACUGCACGGUUAAGAUCUGGGAUCCUAGUUUACCUGUUGAUUAUGACUUAUGCUAUUGAAUAUAUUCAAAGUGGCCGGGCAACGAAGACUCAGAAAGUAUACACCCAAGAGGAACUUGACGAGGUCCGCAUUGAAGUAGCUUAUUAUUUGCAGACUUUGCUAUAGAUGCUGACUCUACCAAAGUGAUUUUGAGUAAGGCUAGCUAGAUUUUGUAGAAGCAUUUUGAAGUAGAACGUUGUACAAUUGCAGGUGAACUAAACUGCAUGUAGUUAUUUCAAUGGUCUAUUUUGGGCUAGCCUUGUUGUAGGUUGGGGUGUUUUUGCCUAUUUUUGGAACUAUUAACAAUUCUGCUGUUCUACAGAAAUUAAUGCAAUGCCCCAUAUUCAGUUAA